rnacentral:rRNA from 1 species
GACGAACGCUGGCGGCGUGCUUAACACAUGCAAGUCGAACGGAAAGGCCCUGCUUUCGUGGUGUAUUCGUGUGGCGAACGUGUGUAUUACACGUGAGUAACCUGCCCAUGACUUUGGUAUAACUGCAGGAAACUGGGUCUAACACCGGAUAGGAACUCCUGGUACAGGGUGGGGGUGGGAAACUUUCGGCGGUUGUGGAUGGACUCGCGGCUUAUCAGCUUGUUGGUGGGGUAGUGGCUUACCAAGGCGUUGACGGGUAGCCGGCCUGAGAGGGUGACCGGCCACAUUGGGACUGAGACACGGCCCAGACUCCUACGGGAGGCAGCAGUGGGGAAUAUUGCACAAUGGGCGGAAGCCUGAUGCAGCAACGCCGCGUGCGGGAUGACGGCCUUCGGGUUGUAAACCGCUGUCACCUGUGAAGAAGCGAGAGUGACGGUAACGGCUGAAAAAGCACCGGCUAACUACGUG